CCUGACUGACUCAAACUCUGGUUCAAGAUCAAGCUACUAGAGUCAUGCCUUUCACAAAAUAAUGCGCACCUAUAUCUAUAUACUAUACAUAGUACACUGUACAAUGUAUAUGUACUGACUACUGGUCAAUCUCACAAUGAUCUGUCUAUAGGUUACAGACAUAAGCUAGGUGCUUGUUUAUAUUUUUCUUUCAUACCAACAGUGAGUACAACAUUUAUUAAAAUACGUUUGUUUAUAUCAGGAACAAAUAACUUGUUCACUCAAAAAACAAUUCAUUUUCGAAAAGUAAUAAUGGUAAUUACCCAUUAAAAAUCAUCAAAAUAUAAGAAAGUAUGAGAUGUCUGCCAACGGCCAUGCAUCAAAUUUUGGGACUCACAAUGAAUCAUCAGUGCUGGAAGACAGGUCACGCAAUCAGAACCCAGAUGUAGGCAGAGCUGUCACUGAUGCUGUUCAUGAGAGGUUUAGACAAAGCUAUGUUUAUUGUGAAAAUUGCAAGGAAAAAUUCAUUGGAAAUGGUGUUAGUAUUCACAAACAUUUUAACAAAUCUCAUCCUGCAGACGUGCAGUGUAUUUACUGUUCAGGAAAAGUUUUUCAUUAUUACAAGGUAAAAAAUGGUAACAACAAAGCAGAACAAGUUUAUUAUCAUUGGUGUCGAGACUGGAUUACCAAAUGAGCCUUAGCUCUCAAGAUUAAAUAUAAGCAACCAAUAUUAUGGAUCUUAAAUUCCUUUGUGCAUUUAUUUAUAAUUAUUAUAAAUACUGAAAAAUGUACAAUGUACAAUAAUGUAAGUACAGUUUUAGAAAAGGCAGAGAUCUUAUGUUUUUGUGCCACUUAACUUAUUUACUAGAGCGACAAAUUUAAGUAUUAAAAUUACAUUGGACAUUAGUUAAAAUGAUGAGCUUAUAAAAUGAGAUUAUUUGUAAGCCUAAAACUAUUGUAGAGUAUACAGAGUUUGUUUAAUUCACGGUAUCUUAGUACAAUUCAUGUUAAGUUAUGCAAAACAUGUACACGAAUUAUUAUGGAAAAUUGGAAGUACUAAUUCUAGUAUAAUAAUUAUUCUCGUAGUAUAUAACUAAAGCAAUAUAUGCACAAAAAUAUGUGUGAUACUAAAUUUUUUUUUACGCAAAAGCAUUUAUAAAUAUGUCAACAAUUUGUGUAAAUAUUAAACAGUGAUGUUUUAAAAUGCAAUCAGAAUCUCAUUCAAAAUACCCUUUUUAGGAAUUUUUAUAUUUAAUUUAUAUAAAAUUGUAACAUGACAAAAAACUAAGAUUGUAAAUGAUACAAUAUAUAAUGUACACUAAAAAGAUAUACUCUUAAUAAAAUAGUUUUGUAUUUUUUACAAACAAA